rnacentral:rRNA from 1 species
GACGUAGGGGGCUAGCGUUGCUCGGAAUCACUGGGCGUAAAGCGCACGUAGGCGGCUUUCUAAGUCAGGGGUGAAAUCCUGGAGCUCAACUCCAGAACUGCCUUUGAUACUGGAGAGCUUGGGUCCGGGAGAGGUGAGUGGAACUCCGAGUGUAGAGGUGAAAUUCGUAGAUAUUCGGAAGAACACCAGUGGCGAAGGCGGCUCACUGGCCCGGUACUGACGCUGAGGUGCGAAAGCGUGGGGAGCAAACAGG